rnacentral:rRNA from 1 species
GCAGCAGCCGCGGUAAUACGAAGGGGGCUAGCGUUGUUCGGAUUUACUGGGCGUAAAGGGUGCGUAGGCGGAUUGUUAAGUCAGGGGUGAAAUCCCGAGGCUCAACCUCGGAACUGCCUUUGAUACUGGCGAUCUUGAGUCCGGGAGAGGUGAGUGGAACUGCGAGUGUAGAGGUGAAAUUCGUAGAUAUUCGCAAGAACACCGGUGGCGAAGGCGGCUCACUGGCCCGGAACUGACGCUGAGGCACGAAAGCGUGGGGAGCAAACAGGAUUAGAGACCCCAGUAGUCCCUGUCUCUUAUAC